rnacentral:rRNA from 1 species
UACUAGCCGACGACGGGUACGGGUUGUGAGGGCAAGAGCCCGGAGAUGGAUUCUGAGACACGAAUCCAGGCCCUACGGGGUGCAGCAGGCGCGGAACCCUUACAAUGUGCGAAAGCAUGAUAAGGGGACUCCGAGUGCCAGCAUCUAAUGCUGGCUGUCCUUGUGCCUAAAAAGCACAAGAUAGCAAGGGCCGGGUAAGACCGGUGCCAGCCGCCGCGGUAACACCGGCGGCCCGAGUGGUAGCCGCUAUUAUUGGGUCUAAAGGGUCCGUGGCCGGUUCAGUAAGUCCUUUGGGAAAUCUGGUUGCUUAACGAUCAGACUGCCAAGGGAUACUGUUGAACUUGAGACCGGGAGAGGUAAGAGGUACUUCAGGGGUAGGAGUGAAAUCUUGUGAUCCCUGGGGGACCAUCUGUGGCGAAGGCGUCUUACCAGAACGGGUCUGACGGUGAGGGACGAAAGCUGGGGGCGCAAACCGGAUUAGAUACCCGGGUAGUCCCAGCCGUAAACGAUGCUCGCUAUGUGUCAGGUACGGUGCGACCGUAUCUGGUGCCGUAGGGAAGCCGUGAAGCGAGCCACCUGGGAAGUACGGUCGCAAGACUGAAACUUAAAGGAAUUGGCGGGGGAGCACUACAACGGGUGGAGCCUGCGGUUUAAUUGGAUUCAACGCC